rnacentral:rRNA from 1 species
GACGAACGCUGGCGGCGUGCUUAACACAUGCAAGUCGAACGGAAAGGCCUGCUUUCCCUUGUGGAUUGCGGGUACUCGAGUGGCGAACGGGUGAGUAACACGUGAGUGAUCUGCCCCCAACUUGGGUAUAAGCCUGGGAAACUGGGUCUAAUUCCCGAUAGGACUGCAGGGUGGUGCCUGUGGUGGAAAACGAUUUUCUAGUGGUUGGGGAUGAGCUCGCGGCCUAUCAGCUUGUUGGUGGGGUAAUGGCCUACCAAGGCGGCGACGGGUAGCCGGCCUGGGAGGGGGGGCGGGCACAUUGGGACUGGGAUACGGCCCCGAAGCCUACGGGAGGCAGCAGGGGGGAAUAAUGGACAAUGGGCGGGAGCCUGAUGCAGCGACGCCGCGUGGGGGAUGACGGCCUUCGGGUUGUAAACUCCUUUCGACCGCGAGGAAGCCACCUGGUUGGAAGGGUGGUGACGGUAGUGGUAGAAGAAGCACCGGCUAACUACGUG